CUGCUUUGCUUUUAAACAGCAGCCCCCAGGGCAGGGCGCUUCUGGCAGGCAGCUCCGUGGGCUGGGGCUGAGCACGGCAGCACCCGCCUGCCUCCAGCAUCUCGUUAGUGGUGCUGCUGAUAAAGGAGCUCCAGGCAGUCCCUGCUGAGCCCUGUCUCUGUCUCGUUGCCUUUCUGCUCAGGCCAUCAGGCGGGGAGAGCUGCCUUCACGCGGGGGACCUGGGGCCCCCAUCCCUGGUUGGGGUCAGCCCCUCACAGGGAAAGGGCAGCCCUGUUAUCGGGGCCCCGUGGAUGGAUUUUCCUUUUCACCCUGAAGUUAUGAAGCUGUGGAGACCCCGUGGUCCCUGGCCACGCGCUGCCCUGCCGAGGUGAUGGCUAAUUGAGACGUGACAGCUGGCAAAACAAACCCAGCCAUGCCUCGAUGGAGCUGGGUAACGGCUGGAGUCCUACAGCUCUGGGAGGCUCCGGAGAGCCGUGUUCAAUCCAGAAUCUGUUCAAGGCCCAAAUUGUUUCAAGAUGGAGCUUGAUAAGCCAGUGGAGAGGCCUGCAGAGCGGCGUGGGACACGGGCUCCACAUCACCCGCUCCAGGAUGCCUGGUAGGAAAGGGACCCCUGUUUGCCUGAACUUUCCCCUUUCCUCUUAUGGGCCCAGGCCUCUCCUGGUCCUGAGAUGGACCAUGAGGGAUCUGGGGCUUGUACUGUUGAAAUACAUCUGAAUUUUGGGGCUGGUUUUCACCUGGAUGAGGUAUAGUGAGUGCUGGAGCUCUGUGAGUGCCACACGACAACUCGAGUCCUUCUAAACUUUUCAACAAACCCCCUGGGGCUGUGAGGUUUGGAGUUAUUGCUGGUACUUUUCUCCUCAUCUGCUCUUUUCCUGCAGCCUGCAAGUGCUGUGGCCUUUCUCUACUGGUCUGAGUGUGCUGGAGAUGUUUUUGGUGUGUGAGCCAUGGACCCCCAGCCUCAGUUGCUAUUGCCUGGCUGCAGUAGCUGCAGGGCUGGGUCAACAGCUGCCCUGAACCCUCCAGUCCUACCCUUCAGUGGCAUUUUUUGAGAUUUCUAUUGAAGAAACUGUUUCUUAAGCAAGUGCUAGAUCCAAAUUGGCAUCUUUUUUGUGUGUGUGAACCCAUUAAACCAUUGUCAGGGAGAAAGAAGUGUUGGUGCCUUGCAGCCAUCAAAGCACCAGAGGGGAGGGAGGGCCCUUUUCCACCACCCCUCUGAGCUGCUCCAGGCCUUUGAGGGUUUUUUUCAUGUACAGAGUCAUAUUUGUUUUGUCCUCCUGUGUCAUCUGUUGCAGGAUCUGGUGGACAGUUUGGAAGCAGCGAGGCUUGCUGUGCCAGAAGCUCUCAUGCUCUCGCUCACUCCCUCGGUGGAUGCUCUCACUCUUCGUUUGUGUUGCAAUAGUGUCCAGAUUGGAACCAGGUGAAAAAACAUGCUCACAAAGCUCUCGGUGAAAAAAAAGGCUUGAUUUAAAAAGUGUUUCAUUUUGAGAAGGGGAAGAAAGCCUAAACAAUCAGCGUUGUUAAAAUUUUCCAUCACUAUCUUUUUUUAUGCAAUGCCAUUUCUUUCAGUGCGUACCAAACCCCUAGCUUUCAGCAGCAAUAUGGGGCUCCUGGGAAACAGUUUUCAUUAGGAGAACAUGGAAAAGCCCCACAGAAAUGGACCAGAGGUUUACAAAAUGGAAACAACGCUUCUCAAGAAGUUGUUUUUCCAAGUUUGUAGUCUUUUCUAGUGGGAUUAGAGUGGAUCCACUUUGCUGUUCCCUGCAUGAGCAGAACAUGCAGCAACGGAGUCGUCAUACCCAAGGAGCCACAACCGAUAGCAUCUGUGCAUGCAAGUCCCUGCAUGACAACCCGCUGGCUCUGUCAAUCCCUUCCAGAGCUUUAGACAAGAAUUUGAGCAAUUUUCCUAAGACUGAAAUACAGAUUUGUACCUUCUGUUGCUAUUAAAUUGUCUCAUGCAUAAAAAAAAUGACCCGUGACAAGAUAAGGAGACUCAAGUGUUUCUAAAACCUUUCUGUGAGUUGAAAAACUGAAUGAAGCCACAACAAACUGAAUGUGUUUAACACCCUCUCAUCUCCUUCUGACAUGCCAGCGGUUGAAAAUAGAGAUGUAAUUAAAAGGAUUUGCAAAGCUGGUCUUACGCUACAGAGGCUUUUAUAUGAUUUUUAUAAAAAACUUGGGUAUUUGUAGUAUUGCACCAGGAAUCCAAAUAAAUGUUCGUGGUUUGUCUCUUUUCA
rnacentral:lncRNA from 1 species